GACGAACGCUGGCGGCGUGCUUAACACAUGCAAGUCGAACGGAAAGGCCCUGCUUUUGUGGGGUGCUCGAGUGGCGAACGGGUGAGUAACACGUGAGUAACCUGCCCUUGACUUUGGGAUAACUUCAGGAAACUGGGGCUAAUACCGGAUAGGAGCUCCUGCUGCAUGGUGGGGGUUGGAAAGUUUCGGCGGUUGGGGAUGGACUCGCGGCUUAUCAGCUUGUUGGUGGGGUAGUGGCUUACCAAGGCCUUGACGGGUAGCCGGCCUGAGCGGGUGACCGGCCACAUUGGGACUGAGAUACGGCCCAGACUCCUACGGGAGGCAGCAGUGGGGAAUAGUGCACAAUGGGCGGAAGCCUGAUGCAGCAACGCCGCGUGCGGGAUGACGGCCUGCGGGUUGUAAACCGCUUUCGCCUGUGACGAAGCGUGAGUGACGGUAAUGGGUAAAGAAGCACCGGCUAACUACGUG
rnacentral:rRNA from 1 species